rnacentral:tRNA from 1 species
GCCUUCGUGGUGUAACGGUAGCACACUCGGCGAGUAUUCGAGAAGUCCAGGUUCGAGUCCCGGCGAGGGCA